rnacentral:rRNA from 1 species
AAACUAACAAGGAUUCCCCUAGUAACGGCGAGUGAAGAGGGAGAAGCCCAAAUUUGUAAUCUGGCCCUUUGACGAGGGUCCGAGUUGUAAUUUUGAGAACUGUUAUCAGUGCUGGACCAUUUCUAAGUCUGUUGAAAAAUAGCAUCAUAGAGGGUGAUAAUCCCGUUUGUGAUAUGGACUACCAGGGCUUUACGAUACAGUUUCUAAGAGUCGAGUUGUUUGGGAAUGCAGCUCAAAGUGGGUGGUAAAUUCCAUCUAAGGCUAAAUACAGGUGAGAGACCGAUAGCAUACAAGUACCGUGAGGGAAAGAUGAAAAGGACUUUGGAAAGAGAGUUAACAGUACGUGAAAUUGUUGUAAGGGAAACGUUUAAACUUAUCGUUGUGUUUGUUAGUUCAGCCCUUUUACUAGGGUGUAUUCUGGCAAAAUCACGGACCAACAUCAGUUUUUGAGUGCUGGAUAAGGGUUUUGGGAAUGUAGCAGUUUCGGCUGUGUUAUAGCCCGGAGUUUGGAUACAGUGCUUGGGACUGAGAUAGAUUCGCAGCAAGCCAUUAACCUGGCCGCCUGAUAUACGGGCACCCAUGCUGAGGAUGUUGGUGAGAUAGCUUAAAAUGAACCAAA